rnacentral:rRNA from 1 species
CGACUGUGAUCAAUUUCAAGCUGUGAGUGCUUAGUUCUUUCGGUGAAGCUGUUUUACCAGCUCUUAGCGAACAAUACUCUUUAAGUUUGACCUCAAAUCAGGUAGGAUUACCCGCUGAACUUAAGCAUAUCAAUAAGCGGAGGAAAAGAAACCAACCGGGAUUGCCUCAGUAACGGCGAGUGAAGCGGCAAAAGCUCAAAUUUGAAAUCUAGUACCUUCGGUGCUCGAGUUGUAAUUUGUAGAGGGUUCUUUGGGGCCGUCUCUUAUCUAUGUUCCUUGGAACAGGACGUCAUAGAGGGUGAGAAUCCCGUAUGAUGAGAGUCGCGGUUCUUUGUAAAGUUCCUUCGAAGAGUCGAGUUGUUUGGGAAUGCAGCUCUAAGUGGGUGGUAAAUUCCAUCUAAAGCUAAAUAUUGGCGAGAGACCGAUAGCGAACAAGUACAGUGAUGGAAAGAUGAAAAGAACUUUGAAAAGAGAGUGAAAAAGUACGUGAAAUUGUUGAAAGGGAAGGGCAUUUGAUCAGACAUGGUGUUUUGCGCCCUCCGUUCCUUGUGGAUGGGGGACUCUCGCAGCUCACUGGGCCAGCAUCAGUUUUGGCGGUAGGAUAAAUCCAUUGGAAUGUGGCUCGCUUCGGUGAGUGUUAUAGCCUUUGGGAAUACUGCCAGCCGGGACUGAGGACUGCGACAUUCGUCAAGGAUGCUGGCAUAAUGGUUAUAUGCCGCCCGUCUUGAAACACGGACCAAGGAGUCUAACGUCUAUGCGAGUGUUUGGGUGUAAAACCCGUACGCGUAAUGAAAGUGAACGUAGGUUGGGGCCCUCUCGG